rnacentral:rRNA from 1 species
GACGAACGCUGGCGGCGUGCUUAACACAUGCAAGUCGAACGAAGUGGCGAACGGGUGAGUAACGCGUAAUCAACCGGCCCUUCGGAGGGGUACAACAGUUGGAAACGACUCCUAAUACCGCAUACUGAGGGAGGGGUUUCCGUCUGAUUAGCUGGGUGGAGGGGUAACGGCCACCCAAGGCGAUGAUCAGUAGCCGGUCUGAGAGGAGGAACGGCCACAUUGGGACUGAGACACGGCCCAGACUCCUACGGGAGGCAGCAGUGGGGAAUCUUCCGCAAUGGACGAAAGUCUGACGGAGCAACGCCGCGUGAGUGAUGACGGCCUUCGGGUUGUAAAGCUCUGUUAAUCGGGACGCGGUACCGGAAUAGAAAGCCACGGCUAACUACGUGCCAGCAGCCGCGGUAAUUC